rnacentral:rRNA from 1 species
CCUACGGGAGGCAGCAGUGGGGAAUAUUGCACAAUGGGGGGAACCCUGAUGCAGCGACGCCGCGUGGGUGAGGAAGUACUUCGGUAUGUAAAGCCCUAUCAGCAGGGAAGAAAAUGACGGUACCUGACUAAGAAGCCCCGGCUAACUACGUGCCAGCAGCCGCGGUAAUACGUAGGGGGCAAGCGUUAUCCGGAUUUACUGGGUGUAAAGGGAGCGUAGACGGCGUGCCAAGUCUGGUGUGAAAGGCCGGGGCCCAACCCCGGGACUGCAUUGGAAACUGGCAUGCUGGAGUGCAGGAGGGGCAAGCGGAAUUCCUAGUGUAGCGGUGAAAUGCGUAGAUAUUAGGAGGAACACCGGUGGCGAAGGCGGCUUACUGGACUGUAACUGACGUUGAGGCUCGAAGGCGUGGGGAGCAAACAGGAUUAGAUACCCUAGUAGUC